UACGUAGGGGGCAAGCGUUGUCCGGAUUUAUUGGGCGUAAAGAGCGUGUAGGCGGCCAGAUAGGUCUGUUGUGAAAACUCGAGGCUCAACCUCGAGACGCCGAUGGAAACCAUCUGGCUAGAGUCCGGAAGAGGAGAGUGGAAUUCCUGGUGUAGCGGUGAAAUGCGCAGAUAUCAGGAGGAACACCGAUGGCGAAGGCAGGUCUCUGGGCCACUACUGACGCUGAGAAGCGAAAGCAUGGGGAGCGAACAGG
rnacentral:rRNA from 1 species